rnacentral:rRNA from 1 species
UACGAAGGGUGCAAGCGUUACUCGGAAUUACUGGGCGUAAAGCGUGCGUAGGUGGUUUGUUAAGUCUGAUGUGAAAGCCCUGGGCUCAACCUGGGAAUUGCAUUGGAUACUGGCAGGCUAGAGUGCGGUAGAGGAUGGCGGAAUUCCCGGUGUAGCAGUGAAAUGCGUAGAGAUCGGGAGGAACAUCUGUGGCGAAGGCGGCCAUCUGGACCAGCACUGACACUGAGGCACGAAAGCCAGGGGAGCAAACGGG